GACGAACGCUGGCGGCGUGCCUAAUACAUGCAAGUCGAGCGAAGCGGGGACGGGUGAGUAACACGUGGAUAACCUCCUAUAAGACUGGGAUAACUAUGGGAAACCGGAGCUAAACCGCAUACUUAUAGAUGGACCCGCGCUGCAUUAGCUAGUUGGUAAGGUAACGGCUAACCAAGGCAACGUACCAUAGCCGACCUGAGAGGGGAUGCGGCCAACCGGGAACUGGGAAACGGUCCAGACUCCUACGGAGGGCAGCAGUAGGAAACCUUCCGCAUGGGGCGAAGUCCGGACGAAGAAACGCGCCGGGGGUGAGGAAGGUCUUCGGAUCGUAAAACUCGGUUAUUGAGGAAGCGGUACCUAAUCAGAAAGCCACGGCUAACUACGUGCCAGCAGCCGCGGUAAUUC
rnacentral:rRNA from 1 species